AGAGAUGACUAGGUGGGUGAUUCUUGAGAAAUGUAAUAAUAAGAAGAAGAUGCUAACAUCGAGUAUACUCAUUCACAAGAGAGAAGAUGGUAUUUUUCAUAGUCGGUUUUAUUAAAUUUAUCGUUUUUAUAGUUUGUAUUGGAUUUUCUUAGUGGGUUACGUUAUUUACAUAGUGGAUUUUGAUAUGUUGCAAUGAAGUACUUUAAUUAUAUAGUGGUUUUCAUGUUUAUAUAGUUGUG
rnacentral:lncRNA from 1 species